AAGUCGUAACAAGGUUUCCGUAGGUGAACCUGCGGAAGGAUCAUUACAGAUUGUUUUCAAAAACAAAAUUGGACUAAGCUGUUGCUGGUUUUUUCGAAAGAGAAAGCAUGUGCACGCUUUGGCUUCAGUUUUUGACCACCUGUGCACCCUUGUGUGGAUUUUUGAAUAUUCAGGAAGAAAAAAAAAUUCCUGGUCAGAGAAAAUGUCUCAGAAACAUACAGUAUGGGACUUUUCUUGUAUUUCAGAUCUACAUCAUUUUUUUUUUUCUACAUACACUUUGUAUUACAUAUUGGAACGAUUAAAUGAUUCAAUUUUCAUUUUGAAAACAACUUUCAACAACGGAUCUCUUGGCUCUC
rnacentral:misc_RNA from 1 species